AUGCGGCCGCUCCUGGUCUGGGGGCUUCGCCCGGGCCCCGACCUCCCGCGGGGGCCAGUAGGUGUCCUCGGGGCACAGCGGGAGACCAGCCUGUCUGCUGGACCCGAACCUUCGGUAGGAUCGGCGCCCCACGGAAAUGGGAGGGGUGGGGCCAUGGGGAAGAAGGAUGGAGAAAUCAGGAAUUCCAGCCCAGAGAUGCUGCCUCUGAAGAGGACCUCAGAUGGGUCUACUGACGUUAUUCUCUUGCCACCUGAAAUGCCCUGUCGACCUAAAGUUUUCCUUCGGACAGAUAACUCUUCACAUGUACUUCUAGUUGAAUCAGAGGGAUCAAAAAAAAAAAAAAAAAGAAAAAAGAAAGAAAGAAAGAAAAAGAUCUUAAAGACAACAGACAGUAGCAAAGCGAACAGGGAAAAGAUGCAUCUUUUGAACACGGAGCUCUACUGUUGGAAGCCAGCCUCUCGGUUUUCUGUCUUGGAUUCCCCUGGGAGCCUAAGGCAGAGAGUGGACAAACCACAGUGCACAAGUCCGGGACUGCUUUCUGGGUGAGGUAUCAGGGCAGCCCUGUGCAGUGGUGCACCAUGGCCUCCCCAGGCCCUCUCCUCAGGUGGAAAUCCGUACAGUAUUCGAUGGCUGUUGGGUCAAGGCACUGUCGUGUACGGCCAGAGGCAGUGGGUCAGU
rnacentral:lncRNA from 12 species